AUUGAACGCUGGCGGCAGGCCUAACACAUGCAAGUCGAGCGAGCGGCGGACGGGUGAGUAAUGUCUGGGAAACUGCCUGAUGGAGGGGGAUAACUACUGGAAACGGUAGCUAAUACCGCAUACCAUCAGAUGUGCCCAGAUGGGAUUAGCUAGUAGGUGGGGUAACGGCUAACCUAGGCGACGAUCCCUAGCUGGUCUGAGCGGAUUACCAGCCACACUGGAACUAAGAGACGGUCGAGAAUACAACGGGAGGCAGAAGUGGGGAAUGAUGCACAAUGGGCGCAAGCCUGAUAAAGCCAUGCCGCGUGUGUGAAGAAGGACUUCGGGUUGGAAAGCACUUUCAGCGGGGAGGCGUUACCCGCAGAAGAAACACCGGCUAACACCGUGCCAGCAGCCGCGGUAAUAC
rnacentral:rRNA from 1 species